UUCUGAUCAAUAUUUUGAGUUUAGAAUAAAUCAAAUGUGUAAUUUGAAGGGAGCCUAUUGAAGUGAUGAACUGACAGAAUUAUUCAUGAACUUUUCCUCAACUCACCUAAGCUAGCAAAGUUAGUAGCUAGCUUGAGAACACAGUGCCGCAUUUAGCAGCUAAAAGGAGAAUGAAGAUUGGACUUACAUUCAUAACUUUUUUCCAACUCUAGUUGUUAGUAGCUAAUUUUCUUUUCCUACUCAGAAUAAAUAUGUUGUGGACAGUAUUAACAUGUUCAGUUCUACAUAAACAGUUCUGCCACUUUAAAUAGGUUUAGGUUGUUUGCAUUGUACAUAGUGAGAAGGUGGAGUUAAUAGUGCAACGCUGUUGGAUUUUACCAUAUGUGGUUGGUUGAUUAGUACGCAUGUCAUUUUUCCUGCAUUGUGAUUGGCUGGGGGGCGGGACUUGACGAGGUGCGGUAGAGUGAAAAAAAAGUGAGCGAGCGGCGUCUUCGGGAAGUUUGUUGCUCGGAGGAUAAGUGAAGGAGGAAAAGACUGAGAAUUGUAGUGAAACAGGGUUAAAGUAUGGUUUGCCAGUUAAUGUGCUGUAUACAUUAGAGCACAAGACUGCUAACCAGUGAAAACAUGUAUGUGUAUUGUGAGAAGUUCAGUAAUAGACGCAGUGGCUAAUGUCGUGUUAUUAUUAGCCUUUCUAGCUAACUAGCUAAGUUGGUUGCCACGGAGACAUUCUGAACUGCACAGACAGACUGCAAGCGACUCGGCUAAGGUCUGGAAGUUUCUUUGGAUCACUAGAGACAGUCGGUGUCACCAGCCAGCGCUCCAGGUAGCCAAGUGAAGCCUGGUAGCUUCUUUAAGGACGAAGUGGGACUGGAGAGAGGAUUCCCCUGUCAGCCCGCCACGAUCAGCCAUCAACCGGCCACGGUCAGCCAUCAGCCCGCCUGGAGAUCCCAACAGCGGGAUUGCGUGACUUACCUGUAGCUAUUGUCCCGGCUGGCGUUUCCUCAGCGGUGUCGUUUAGAAGCAGGAAGGAUGGAGGCAUUCUUCCUCCCAGGGCCUCCUGUUCUUUCUGUUCCUGUCCUCUUUCCACUCUUGCUCUAAAUCAGAGCGACAGGACCUGCAGGGGGCAGAGGAGAACAUCAAAUACGCAGCUCUGACAUGCAUGAAAGACUGUGACGGUGCUGCUCAGUGCAGGAGCUGAGGCAGGACAGAUACAGAUGAAUAAAUGGAUGAGGGUAGGAUGGAUGGAUACCCUGAACUAAUGUCCACCCCCUCGGAGUCGGACAUGUGAAGGGGGAAAAGGGGAAAUGUUCUGCACGGACCACAAGAAAAACGCUGGAAGAAAUUGGCAAAUACUGUUGGGUCCAGGUCUAGUUUCAAUCACCUUCAAAAACACACCACUACUUCUUCCUGGAGCUUCGCAGAGCCUUAUCAUGACUCCCUGCAUUUGUUUUUAAAGGCCGACAAUUGCAUUUUCACUUGCUGCCUCCUUUCACCAAGCAGUAAAAGGUCCCAGGACAGUUUGGACGAUCAGUGAGGACAGGAGCGACACUUCAGACAGCACAUUGUGUGUGAGUGCAAAGAAUGACAAAUCACAUUAACGCCAAGACACCUGGUAUAUUGUGAAAGAGAGAUAAGCGCACAGACAUGAAACACCAGUGACAGUUUUAUAUUGCUUCAGUCUAACCUAAAAGCAGCUGCAGCACAGAUGAUUUGAACAAGGUGAGGAGCAAUUGUAAGAGUAACUAACAUAAACUGCCAAUAGAUAUAAUAUCAGAUACAAGGUCAAACUAUUAUUGUGAUGUAUAUACUGGAUUAGAAUUGUCUUUUAUAGACUAUCAUGUCUUUUUCAGUUGGUUAUUUACUUCAGCUCUGUUGGUAAUGUCCACUGCACCUGUCUCAGCAACUGUUGAGGGAUGAGCCACAUGGUCCCCAGAGGAUGGAUCCCUAAAGACAUCAGUAAUCCCUUGACUGUUCAUCAAACUCCACCAUUAAGUUUGACAUUUUUUGUUUUGUGUGAAAUAUCUCAACAAAAACUGGAUGGAUUGCCAUGAAAUCUGAUACAGAUACUAAAGGUCUCCAAAUGAUGUAUUGUACUGACAUUGGUGAUUCCCUGACUUAGAUCUAAAGCCACCGAAAAGGUCAAAAUGUAAAUGGGUUUAAUACUUUGGUUUAUGACCAAAUACCUGCAAAACGAAUGAUAUUUCUAUCAGCAAAAAGGCGCUAAACUAAAGUUGGAUUUAUAAUUGUAGCCAUGGUUACUAUAAGUGCUGCUGUAGAUACAUGUGGUGUGGGUUUUGAUUUAUAGUUGAGUAUCAGAUUUCACUCCUUUAUAACACCAUCACUAACUGUAUUGUACAUAAUCAGGCCGUGCCAUGCUUUAAUUAUAUCCCCCACUGUAACUGUCUUUAUAUUGUUUCAUGCACUUUGUAAUAUAGAGCUGUGAUGUCUUUAUAGGACUGGGAUUAUAUGCAGGUAACAUUAUUUCACCUUGUUUCAUUACUUAAUAAGAGACCACUCCUAUGCUGUCGCUGUCUUCAUGUUAUUUUUUUCAUCAUGAUAAGAGAGUGAUGAUUGUGUUCAGCUAAAGGUUUGCAGAAGAAAUGUCUCUGUUAGAACAUGUAUUACUGGAGAGGAGACCACCACUGAGUCGCCCUUCAACUUCAACAAUGUACACCUACAAACAGGCUGGGCCAUCUACAUUAGCCUGCCUUUAAUUGCUCAUGACCUACAGUGAGAAUGUUUACAGGGGAAUUUAAUCUGCACAAGAGCGUUAUUAACAAAAUGUGGGUGUAUAAUUUUGUCGAAAAAUAUCUUUUUCGAUUCUUAGAGAGAUUUUUACAUCAUGAUCCAUACAUCAUUUCAUGAGAAACUGACAAAGAUGUCUAAAAAUGCCCUAAUCUCGCAAUGUUAAGGCAAGUGGAUCCAAUUCUGUAACUAAUUCAGCACCAAUUUAAUGGGUGCUUCCCUGGCCCAUGCCCCGUCCCUCCACCAAGUCAGGUACACAUUGGUUGAGAGCUCUUUCUGUAAUCCUGCUGACAAACAAACCAACAGAGACACAGGUGAAAAACAUAACCUCUUUGGUGGAGGUAAAAAAAUAAACAGAAUGGGGUUGAAGUCUUUAUUAUAAAUCAUUUACAUUACAAAGUAAGACAUUAGUCAUUGCCAUAUCCAUCCAAACAUCUUGUUUACAAGGAGAGGUUAGUGAAUCAGCACGCCAGAGGAGGGGUUCUUCUUCUGAAGUCAUAUUUCGCCAUACAGGAGGAUGUUGGCACAGGGUUAAUCAUACUACUGUUGAACCAUGCACUCAGACACACACACACACACAGAAUAUCGUCAACCUUCAAGUAUGAGUACACAGGUGCUGUGCUGAUUUUAGCUCAGGUGUUGAGCCAUCAAUGGCAGAUGAAAAAAAGUGAGAAACAGGACAGAAAAUGAAGCUGCACGGACAAGACAAGGUGAUGUGCAAGACAGAGAGACAGCAGGUAGCUUUCUUAUCCAUCUGGACCUUUUUGGACUGACAUGAGACUCCCUCUGUCCCAUUCAUAUUCACGCUGUCCACUCUUAAUAUUCUGAGGGAGUCAAUCCACUGACCCCUUCCUCACGAUAUCUUUCCCGUUAAAGGCUUGAUGAAGGCUUCAUUCAUCCUGACACACGCAUCCAUAUUGCAUCUGAUCUGACAUCAUAGUGAGCUGGACAAUGUGGAGGAGGAUAACUGGUCCUCUAAGUUGAAUUAGUGAGGUCUUUGAGUCUGGAAAAUAUUUUUUGGUCUUUUCCCUGCCCUUUCUGUCCUUUUCACAUAACACUUUUUUUUUUUUUUUUUUUUUUUAAUAUCUUUAAAUAAAAAUGCUUUAGAAAU